GAUGAAGAACGCAGCGAAAUGCGAUAAGUAAUGUGAAUUGCAGAAUUCAGUGAAUCAUCGAAUCUUUGAACGCACAUUGCGCCCUCUGGUAUUCCGGGGGGCAUGCCUGUUCGAGCGUCAUUAUAACCACUCAAGCUCUCGCUUGGUAUUGGGGUUCGCGGUUUCGCGGCCCCUAAAAUCAGUGGCGGUGCCUGUCGGCUCUACGCGUAGUAAUACUCCUCGCGAUUGAGUCCGGUAGGUCUACUUGCCAGCAACCCCUAAUUUUUUUAAGGUUGACCUCGGAUCAGGUAGGGAUACCCGCUGAACUUAAGCAUAUCAAUAAGCGGAGA
rnacentral:misc_RNA from 1 species